rnacentral:rRNA from 1 species
CAACGACUCUCGGCAACGGAUAUCUCGGCUCACGCAUCGAUGAAGAACGUAGCAAAAUGUGAUACUUGGUGUGAAUUGCAGAAUCCCGUGAACCAUCGAGUUUUUGAACGCAAGUUGCGCCCGAAGCCUUUUGGUCGAGGGCACGUCUGCCUGGGUGUCACAC